rnacentral:rRNA from 1 species
GUGGGGAAUUUUGGACAAUGGGCGCAAGCCUGAUCCAGCCAUGCCGCGUGAGUGAAGAAGGCCUUCGGGUUGUAAAGCUCUUUCGGCCGGGAAGAAAUCGGCGACUCUAACAUAGUCGCUGGAUGACGGUACCGGACUAAGAAGCACCGGCUAACUACGUGCCAGCAGCCGCGGUAAUACGUAGGGUGCGAGCGUUAAUCGGAAUUACUGGGCGUAAAGCGUGCGCAGGCGGUUUUGUAAGACAGAUGUGAAAUCCCCGGGCUUAACCUGUGAACUGCGUUUGUGACUGCAAGGCUAGAGUACGGCAGAGGGGGGUGGAAUUCCUGGUGUAGCAGUGAAAUGCGUAGAUAUCAGGAGGAACACCGAUGGCGAAGGCAGCCCCCUGGGCCUGUACUGACGCUCAUGCACGAAAGCGUGGGGAGCAAACAGGAUUAGAAACCCCUGUAGUCC